ensembl:lncRNA ITGA6-AS1 ITGA6 antisense RNA 1
AGGAGGUUAAUUUGAGUAGUAAUAAAACUCAUCUUCUGUUUAGCCAGCUCCACAUGCACUAAACUCUUUGUCUUGAUAAAUUGGCUCUAUCUGGUCAGCAGGCAAGAAAAACCUAUUGGAUGGUUACAUGAGGACACAGCAAGAAAGCCCUUAUGAGACACUGAGUUCCGGCAUCUUGAUCUUGAACUUCACAGCCUCUAGAACUGGUUGAAGGCAAAUACUUGAAGUUGCAAUCGAAGGUCAAGAAAAUGGAAUCAAGAGGUCACAAUCCUUCUCUGAUGAUGGCUUAGAAAGCUGGAAGACACUCAACAUUGAAUCCUGGGGCUCUGUGCCAUGCUUGCUAGGAGAAACAGCCACCAUGAGUCCAUCUUUCAGAUCUCAAGUGAACAGUCAUUCUCCAGCUGGGAUUGAGAACAAGGGGAAGCUGGCCAUAGAGCCAGGUGACCAAAGAUGGAAGACAAAGGGUGGGCUGUGAUUCCCAGAGCUCCAAGCCUUGUUCUGUCUUGUCACACCAACUGUUACUGAUGAACAGGUUUACAAUCUUUGAGGCCUGGCUGACUCAUGGAACAACUAGGACAAGAAACAAAGACAAAGAACACACACCUGACUGGACAGAGAUAAACCAAGAGCUGAGAGUUUUGGAAACAAGGCUGGAGCUGAGGAAAAGGACUGGGAACACGAACCUGUACAAACAACAAAUUCUUACAACAGAAAACAAGCCACUCCUGGCCAUCAAGAAACCCACAAAUCUCAGAAGCAAAAGCAAAACAAAUGAAAAUACAAACCAAAUAGUCUCUAUUACCUUCAUGCCUGUUGGGUCCCAAUAAAGGAAUCAUUCCAAUAAA